AAUACUGGGAUAAAGAAGAUUGUUCGUGCCAAUGACCGGAUUGUAGCCGAUCUUGACCCCAGUAUUUACCUCAGGUUCAAAGAUGUUAGAAUUGGUGAUCCCUCCAUGACGGUUGAUGGGAUCAGUGAAAAAAUCAAUCCUCAUACAUGCCGAUUGUCAGAUAUGACGUAUUCUGCACCGAUAUUGGUCAGCAUAGAGUACAUUCAUGGGAGUCAUG